rnacentral:misc_RNA from 1 species
GAUGAAGAACGUAGCGAAAUGCGAUACUUGGUGUGAAUUGCAGAAUCCCGUGAACCAUCGAGUCUUUGAACGCAAGUUGCGCCCGAAGCCAUUAGGCCGAGGGCACGCCUGCCUGGGCGUCACACGUCGUUGCCCCCCCAUCUACUCCUUCGGGAUUGCGGGGGGCGGAUGAUGGCCUCCCGUGCGCCUCGUCGCGCGGUUGGCAUAAAUGCCAAGUCCUCGGCGACGCACGCCACGACAAUCGGUGGUUGCGAAACCUCGGUUGCCCGUCGUGUGCGGUCGUCGCGCAUCGAGGGCUCGAAAAAAUUGCCGGGCUUCGGCUCGGCUUUCAACGCGACCCCAGGUCAGGCUGGGUUACCCGCUGAAUUUAAGCAUAUCAAUAAGCGGAGGA